rnacentral:tRNA from 1 species
UCCUCAUUGGUCUAGUGGUCAUGAUUUCCGCUUGUCAUAUGACAAUUGCGCGGGAGGUAAAAUAUACUCCCCUCAAGCUCAGCUUGGGACGCUCUAGCUAACGAAUGACAGACCUGGGUUCGAUUCCCAGAUGGGGAG